rnacentral:snRNA from 1 species
AGCUUUGCGCAGUGGCAGUAUCGUAGCCAAUGAGGUUUAUCCGAGGCGCGAUUAUUGCUAAUAGAUAUUUUGAUUAAAUUUAUAUAGUUAGCAUUUGAUUCUUUACUGGCAAUGUUUGCUUAUAAUUAUUCUCUUUUUUCUCCUUUAAAG